ACGGAAGGCAGCAGUGGGGAAUAUUGCACAAUGGGCGCAAGCCUGAUGCAGCGAUGCCGCGUGAGGGAAGAAGGUUUUCGGAUUGUAAACCUCUGUCAACAGGGACGAAAAUGACGGUACCUGUGAAGGAAGCUCCGGCUAACUACGUGCCAGCAGCCGCGGUAAUACGUAGGGAGCAAGCGUUAUCCGGAAUUACUGGGUGUAAAGGGCGUGUAGCCGGGUCGGUAAGUCAGAUGUGAAAUCUACGGGCUCAACUCGUAAACUGCAUUUGAAACUGCUGAUCUUGAGUAUCGGAGAGGCAAUCGGAAUUCCUAGUGUAGCGGUGAAAUGCGUAGAUAUUAGGAGGAACACCAGUGGCGAAGGCGGAUUGCUGGACGACAACUGACGGUGAGGCGCGAAAGCGUGGGGAGCAAACAGGAUUAGAUACCCUGGUA
rnacentral:rRNA from 1 species